GAUGAACGCUAGCUACAGGCUUAACACAUGCAAGUCGAGGGGCAGCAUGAACUUAGCUUGCUAAGUUUGAUGGCGACCGGCGCACGGGUGAGUAACACGUAUCCAACCUUCCGUUUACUCAGGGAUAGCCUUUCGAAAGAAAGAUUAAUACCUGAUGGUAUGGUGAGAUUGCAUGAUAGCACCAUUAAAGAUUUAUUGGUAAACGAUGGGGAUGCGUUCCAUUAGGUAGUAGGCGGGGUAACGGCCCACCUAGCCGACGAUGGAUAGGGGUUCUGAGAGGAAGGUCCCCCACAUUGGAACUGAGACACGGUCCAAACUCCUACGGGAGGCAGCAGUGAGGAAUAUUGGUCAAUGGGGCGAGAGCCUGAACCAGCCAAGUAGCGUGAAGGAUGAAGGUCCUACGGAUUGUAAACUUCUUUUAUACGGGAAUAAAGUAUCCUACGUGUAGGAUUUUGUAUGUACCGUAUGAAUAAGCAUCGGCUAACUCCGUG
rnacentral:rRNA from 1 species